UACAGAGGUCUCAAGCGUUGUUCGGAUUCAUUGGGCGUAAAGGGUGUGUAGGUGGCGCCGUAAGUCGGGUGUGAAAUUUCGGAGCUUAACUCCGAAACUGCAUUCGAUACUGCGGUGCUUGAGGACUGGAGAGGAGACUGGAAUUCAUGGUGUAGCAGUGAAAUGCGUAGAGAUCGGGAGGAAUACCGGUGGCGAAAGCGACUCUCUGGACGGCAACUGACGCUGAGGCACGAAAGCGUGGGGAGCAAACAGG
rnacentral:rRNA from 1 species